rnacentral:rRNA from 1 species
GGGUUGUGAGGUUAAGCGACUAAGCGUACACGGUGGAUGCCCUGGCAGUCAGAGGCGAUGAAGGACGUGCUAAUCUGCGAAAAGCGUCGGUAAGGUGAUAUGAACCGUUAUAGCCGGCGAUGUCCGAAUGGGGAAACCCAGUGCAAUUCGUUGCACUAUCGUUUGAUGAAUACAUAGUCAAACGAGGCGAACCGGGGGAACUGAAACAUCUAAGUACCCCGAGGAAAAGAAAUCAACCGAGAUUCCCCCAGUAGCGGCGAGCGAACGGGGAGCAGCCCGGAGUCUGAAUCAGCUUGUGUGUUAGUGGAAGCGUCUGGAAAGUCGCAGGGUACAGGGUGAUACUCCCGUACACUAAAACGCACAGGUUGUGAACUCGAAGAGUAGGGCGGGACACGUGGUAUCCUGUCUGAAUAUGGGGGGACCAUCCUCCAAGGCUAAAUACUCCUGACUGACCGAUAGUGAACCAGUACCGUGAGGGAAAGGCGAAAAGAACCCCGGCGAGGGGAGUGAAAAAGAACCUGAAACCGUGUACGUACAAGCAGUAGGAGCCCACUUGUUGGGUGACUGCGUACCUUUUGUAUAAUGGGUCAGCGACUUAUAUUCUGUAGCAAGGUUAACCGUAUAGGGGAGCCGCAGGGAAACCGAGUCUUAACUGGGCGUUAAGUUGCAGGGUAUAGACCCGAAACCCGGUGAUCUAGCCAUGGGCAGGUUGAAGGUUGGGUAACACUAACUGGAGGACCGAACCGACUAAUGUUGAAAAAUUAGCGGAUGACUUGUGGCUGGGGGUGAAAGGCCAAUCAAACCGGGAGAUAGCUGGUUCUCCCCGAAAGCUAUUUAGGUAGCGCCUCGUGAACUCAUCUUCGGGGGUAGAGCACUGUUUCGGCUAGGGGGUCAUCCCGACUUACCAACCCGAUGCAAACUACGAAUACCGAAGAAUGUUAUCACGGGAGACACACGGCGGGUGCUAACGUCCGUCGUGAAGAGGGAAACAACCCAGACCGCCAGCUAAGGUCCCAAAGUCAUGGUUAAGUGGGAAACGAUGUGGGAAGGCCCAGACAGCCAGGAUGUUGGCUUAGAAGCAGCCAUCAUUUAAAGAAAGCGUAAUAGCUCACUGGUCGAGUCGGCCUGCGCGGAAGAUGUAACGGGGCUAAACCAUGCACCGAAGCUGCGGCAGCGACACUAUGUGUUGUUGGGUAGGGGAGCGUUCUGUAAGCCGUUGAAGGUGGCCUGUGAGGGUUGCUGGAGGUAUCAGAAGUGCGAAUGCUGACAUAAGUAACGAUAAUGCGGGUGAAAAACCCGCACGCCGGAAGACCAAGGGUUCCUGUCCAACGUUAAUCGGGGCAGGGUGAGUCGACCCCUAAGGCGAGGCCGAGAGGCGUAGUCGAUGGGAAACAGGUUAAUAUUCCUGUACUCGGUGUUACUGCGAAGGGGGGACGGAGAAGGCUAUGUUGGCCGGGCGACGGUUGUCCCGGUUUAAGCAUGUAGGCGGAUGUUCCAGGUAAAUCCGGAACGUCACUAACGCUGAGGUGUGAUGACGAGGCACUACGGUGCUGAAGUGACAAAUGCCCUGCUUCCAGGAAAAGCCUCUAAGCAUCAGGUAACAUCAAAUCGUACCCCAAACCGACACAGGUGGUCAGGUAGAGAAUACCAAGGCGCUUGAGAGAACUCGGGUGAAGGAACUAGGCAAAAUGGUGCCGUAACUUCGGGAGAAGGCACGCUGAUGGUAGGUGAAGCGACUUGCUCGUGGAGCUGAAAUCAGUCGAAGAUACCAGCUGGCUGCAACUGUUUAUUAAAAACACAGCACUGUGCAAACACGAAAGUGGACGUAUACGGUGUGACGCCUGCCCGGUGCCGGAAGGUUAAUUGAUGGGGUUAUCCGUAAGGAGAAGCUCUUGAUCGAAGCCCCGGUAAACGGCGGCCGUAACUAUAACGGUCCUAAGGUAGCGAAAUUCCUUGUCGGGUAAGUUCCGACCUGCACGAAUGGCGUAAUGAUGGCCAGGCUGUCUCCACCCGAGACUCAGUGAAAUUGAACUCGCUGUGAAGAUGCAGUGUACCCGCGGCAAGACGGAAAGACCCCGUGAACCUUUACUAUAGCUUGACACUGAACACUGGUCCUUGAUGUGUAGGAUAGGUGGGAGGCUUUGAAGUGUGGACGCCAGUCUGCAUGGAGCCAUCCUUGAAAUACCACCCUUUAAUGGCUGGUGUUCUAACGUGGGCCCCUGAUCGGGGUUGCGGACAGUGUCUGGUGGGUAGUUUGACUGGGGCGGUCUCCUCCUAAAGAGUAACGGAGGAGCACGAAGGUCAGCUAAUCCUGGUCGGACAUCAGGAGGUUAGUGCAAUGGCAUAAGCUGGCUUGACUGCGAGCGUGACGGCGCGAGCAGGUGCGAAAGCAGGUCAUAGUGAUCCGGUGGUUCUGAAUGGAAGGGCCAUCGCUCAACGGAUAAAAGGUACUCCGGGGAUAACAGGCUGAUACCGCCCAAGAGUUCAUAUCGACGGCGGUGUUUGGCACCUCGAUGUCGGCUCAUCACAUCCUGGGGCUGAAGUAGGUCCCAAGGGUAUGGCUGUUCGCCAUUUAAAGUGGUACGCGAGCUGGGUUUAGAACGUCGUGAGACAGUUCGGUCCCUAUCUGCCGUGGGCGCUGGAGAAUUGAGGGGGGCUGCUCCUAGUACGAGAGGACCGGAGUGGACGCAUCACUGGUGUUCGGGUUGUCAUGCCAAUGGCAUUGCCCGGUAGCUAAAUGCGGAAGAGAUAAGUGCUGAAAGCAUCUAAGCACGAAACUUGCCCCGAGAUGAGUUCUCCCUGACUCCUUGAGAGUCCUGAAGGAACGUUGAAGACGACGACGUUGAUAGGCCGGGUGUGUAAGCGCAGCGAUGCGUUGAGCUAACCGGUACUAAUGAACCGUGAGGCUUAACCUUACAACGCCGAAG